rnacentral:rRNA from 1 species
CGGCGGCGCGCUAUAAUACAUGCAAGUCGGACGCUGUAUUAGAGGGUAGCAAUAUUCUCUAGUUGGAGUGGCGCAAGGGUGCGUAACACGUGGCCAAUCUGCCGUGAAGUUUGGGAUAACUCGCUGAAAGGCGAGCUAAUACCGGAUGUGAUGAUUGGUUGCCAUCAAUUGAUCAUUAAAGCUGGGGACCCGCAAGGGCCUGGCGCUUCAUGAUGAGCCCGCGGCCUAUCAGCUAGUUGGUGAGGUACGGGCCCACCAAGGCAAAGACGGGUAGCUGGUCUGAGAGGACGACCAGCCACACUGGAACUGAGACACGGUCCAGACACCUNCGGGUGGCAGCAGUCGAGAAUUUUUCACAAUGGGCGCAAGCCUGAUGGAGCGACGCCGCGUGGUGGAUGAAGGGUUUCGAUCCGUAAACCCCUGUCAUUUGCGAACAAUGUCUAUCCAACNACACUGGAUAACUUGAUAGUAGCGUAAGAGGAAGGGACGUCUAACUCUGUGCCAGCAGCCGCGUUAACACAGAGGCCCCAAGCGUUGUUCGGAUUCACUGGGCGUAAAGGGUGCGUAGGUGGCCGUGGAAGUUCGGUGUGAAAGCUCGGAGCUCAACUCCGAAAUGUCAUUGAAUACUCUACGGCUGGAGGGUCGGAGGGGAGACUGGAAUUCUCGGUGUAGCAGUGAAAUGCGUAGAUAUCGAGAGGAACACCAGUGGCGAAGGCGAGUCUCUGGACGACACCUGACACUGAGGCACGAAAGCCAGGGGAGCAAACAGGAUUAGAUACCCUGGUAGUCCUGGCUGUAAACGGUGCACGUUUGCUGUGAGAGGAAUCGACCCCUUUCGUGGCGGAGCUAACGCGCUAAACGUGCCGCCUGGGGAGUACGGUCGCAAGAUUAAAACUCAAAUGAAUUGACGG